AGCCUCCAAACUGUCGAGACUCUUCCUCUCAAAACUCUCGCUUCCUCCUCAGCGCCAAACAUCUCAUCUCCAUCGGUUUCCAGUUGGUGAAAUUUGUCCUCAGCUUAAGAAGGUCUUGAUGGAAUUGGUUUGGGAAAAGUUUCAUUUGAAGUUAGAGUUUUGAAUUGGUUUCAUCUAAGUACUUUUUAACUGUUGACAAUGUAAUGUUCAAGACACUUCCUUGUUAUUUUUCAACUGCAGGCCUCUGGAACUGUGUGCCAAGGUGAAUCAUCACCAUUGAUUUUUAUUGUGGUAUGAUAUUCAACAGACACUUCCCAUCUAUUGGAUGCUUUGGAAUAUGCAUACCAUAUCUCUUACAUUUUGUUAGUUUGGCUGAGGUCAUUCCAAACUUUAGA